GACGGAGGGUGCAAGCGUUGUUCGGAAUCACUGGGCGUAAAGCGCGUGUAGGCGGUUCGAUAAGUCGAAUGUGAAAGCCCGAGGCUCAACCUCGGAAGUGCAUUCGAAACUGUCGGGCUUGAGUACGGGAGAGGGAAGCGGAAUUCCUGGUGUAGAGGUGAAAUUCGUAGAUAUCAGGAGGAACACCGGUGGCGAAGGCGGCUUCCUGGACCGAUACUGACGCUGAGACGCGAAAGCGUGGGGAGCAAACAGGAUUAGAUACCCUGGUAGUCCACGCCGUAAACGGUGAGCACUAGGUGUAGCGGGUAUUGACCCCUGCUGUGCCGCAGCUAACGCAUUAAGUGCUCCGCCUGGGGAGUACGGUCGCAAGAUUAAA
rnacentral:rRNA from 1 species